GACGAACGCUGGCGGCGUGCUUAACACAUGCAAGUCGAACGGAAAGGCCCUGCUUUUGUGGGGUGCUCGAGUGGCGAACGGGUGAGUAACACGUGAGUAACCUGCCCUUGACUUUGGGAUAACUUCAGGAAACUGGGGCUAAUACCGGAUAGGAGCUCCUGCUGCAUGGUGGGGGUUGGAAAGUUUCGGCGGUUGGGGAUGGACUCGCGGCUUAUCAGCUUGUUGGUGGGGUAGUGGCUUACCAAGGCUUUGACGGGUAGCCGGCCUGAGAGGGUGACCGGCCACAUUGGGACUGAGGUACGGCCCAGACUCCUACAGGAGGCAGCAGUGGGGAGUAUUGCACAAUGGGCGGAAGCCUGAUGCAGCAACGCCGCGUGCGGGAUGACGGCCUUCGGGUUGUAAACCGCUUUCGCCUGUGACGAAGCGUGAGUGACGGUAAUGGGUAAAGAAGCACCGGCUAACUACGUG
rnacentral:rRNA from 1 species